ACCGAGGCGACAGCAGCAAGAUUCCACUCCGCCACUCUGAACGCUUCGGGCCUUCCGCACACCAGCUGCGCUUGCGCAGUGCCUCCACGCAGGCGCAUUCUUCCCUUGUUCCCACGUCACGCGGGCUCCGGGCGGUGUCGCGCCCAGGAACGCCGGGCGGAAGCGCGAGCCUUGAAGAAGUGGUUCUUAGUCUUUCCGCGUUUCUUUUGGCCACUCUUGUCCUGGCGCGUCCACGAGGACAGAGGCCGCGUGGGAUUUGCUCACUUUUGUGUCUGCAGCGCUGUCAGGAGUAGCUGUGGAAAUGACGAAGAGCGGGAAGGUGACCGGCUGGAGCUUGGCCCAUGUAAUCUUUAAUGGUUGCAACCCUGUUCUUGGAACGCUGAGGCCACCCUCAGACAGCGGAACCCGUGGCAUAGAAGGGCUGCAGGCCAGCUCCAUCCUUGCCGGAGGAUCUCCUGGAUUUAAUUGUGCAAGCCACACCGAUGAGAGCAAUCAUUCUGGUUCAGCGCCAGCUUCUCACCGUCGGCCAAUAGCACAUCAUUGAGCCCAGCAAAUGGACGCAGUGACGGCCGAGGCAGAGACUGAGGUGCUGUGGCCUGCAGGAGUUUGCCUUUGUGUCCGGCAUAUGAACAACGCAUCCAAGAACCCAGCCCACGUCAAGCAACUGUACCCAGAAGCAGAAGGGCGGGGCGUGCAGUUUGCUUGGUGCUUGAGGUUCUCUACAAAGUAUCCAGGCCCCUCACUCGGCCUUCCCAUCUACAGCAUCUCCUGUCCCCACCCCACCCCUGCAACCAGACUACCUUCCCUGCCUAGUCUAUGGAAGGGGAGAGGUGGUGUCCUUGGCCUCCUGAAAAAGAAAACGUCAGGGAGGAAGUUGUGUCCUCUAGAUCCCUGAAACAGUCUCUGAAAUGCCCACAGCAUGGGUUUGACUCCACCUCCGUAGAAACAGGUCUUAGGGGCUGUAUUUAUGGCUGCCGGCAGGUGUGUCAUGUGGGGCCUUCACCGGGUUCCUGAGAAUGGGGGGCCUUCUAGACUACCCGAGGGAUAGGGAAAUGUUCGACAGUAGACUCGGGGUAUGGUAAUCAUGAUCCAGGUAAAAUUAGCUCCCCUAGAUCUUUCCAGAAAGGUC